rnacentral:rRNA from 1 species
AGUGAACGCUGGCGGUAGGCCUAACACAUGCAAGUCGAACGGCAGCACAGUAAGAGCUUGCUCUUACGGGUGGCGAGUGGCGGACGGGUGAGGAAUACAUCGGAAUCUACUUUUUCGUGGGGGAUAACGUAGGGAAACUUACGCUAAUACCGCAUACGACCUACGGGUGAAAGCAGGGGAUCUUCGGACCUUGCGCGAUUGAAUGAGCCGAUGUCGGAUUAGCUAGUUGGCGGGGUAAAGGCCCACCAAGGCGACGAUCCGUAGCUGGUCUGAGAGGAUGAUCAGCCACAGUGAAACAGAGACGCUGUCCAGACUUCUGCGAGGCACAGCAGGGGAAUAUAUUGGACUAUGGGCAAGAGCCUGAUCGAGCCAUAGCGCGUGUGUGGAGGAGGCCUGCGGGUUAUAAAGCUCUUUUGUUGAAAGAGAAAAGGAGCAUGUUAAUACCCCGCUGUUGAGGCUAUACCCAAAGAAUGAGCACCGGCAAACUGCG